rnacentral:misc_RNA from 1 species
GAUGAAGAACGUAGCGAAAUGCGAUAAGUAAUGUGAAUUGCAGAAUUCAGUGAAUUAUCGAAUCUUUGAACGCACAUUGCGCCCCUUGGUAUUCCGAGGGGCAUGCCUGUUCGAGCGUCAUUAUAACCCCUCAAGCUCAGCUUGGUGUUGGGGCCUGCUGCACUGGCAGCCCUUAAAAUCAGUGGCGGCGCCAUCUGGCUCUAAGCGUAGUAAUUCUUCUCGCUAUGGAGUCCUGGUGGAUGCUUGCCAUCAACCCCCAAUUUUUCUAUGGUUGACCUCGGAUCAGGUAGGGAUACCCGCUGAACUUAAGCAUAUCAAUAAGCGGAGGA